GACGGAGGAUGCAAGCGUUAUCCGGAAUGAUUGGGCGUAAAGCGUCCGCAGGUGGCAGUUUCAAGUCUGCUGUCAAAGACCGGGGCUUAACUUCGGAAAGGCAGUGGAAACUGAACAGCUAGAGUAUGGUAGGGGCAGAGGGAAUUCCUGGUGUAGCAGUGAAAUGCGUAGAGAUCAGGAAGAACAUCGGUGGCGAAGGCGACUCUGCUGGAACCAUAACUGACACUCAGGGACGAAA
rnacentral:rRNA from 1 species